ensembl:lncRNA
GCCAGUUACCCUUAUUUUUUCUCGAUAUCUGCCUCCUUGGGUUUGUCCUUCUAGCAUUCCAGUUGAGCGACUACUCUAGGAGACUGAGAGGUGGAGGCACCGGUUUGUCAGCUGAAGCGGAAAUUAAAUACAGGACCUUCAUCUUGAGAAGACAGGACAUUGGCAUCACUCUGAACGCGAGCUAGAGAGGUUGAGAGAGUGGCAAAUAAUAUGGAGAAUGCGAGACAUAGAGAAACUUUGUAUGCAUGUCAAAGCCCAUAAUUCUUACGUUACCUCCAUCCUACAACCGCUGGCACUGAUUGCCUAUUCUUUCCCAAGCCGAUGAAACUCCACUGUUGUUUUGAGUGGAUGCAAUUUUAAAUGGGUAUCCCUGACCACUCACAGAAAGCUGUCUGUCUAAACUACAAUUAAGCCAAAAUUCUCUUUCCCAUUUGGUCGAAGGCUGUCAUUUUCUUUAUCCUCUAUGAGUGGGUUAUAUUUACACACCUUGUCUUCCCCCCCCCUCUCCCCCUCUCUCUGGCAUUACAGGGCCAUCAUUUUGCUCUUCACAUGAUUACCUAGAUACAACCCCUCCUCCUCCUUCAACCCAAACACACACACCGCUGCUUGUCCUCCGGUCAGCAGUGUUCUCCGCCACGUAAGUGUGUGUGGGAUGAUGGCCCUCCUGGCCAACCUUAGCAUCCCCUGGGGCACGAAGGCACUGCUGGGCUUUGCAGACAGCGCCAACCUGACAGCACCGACGCCACCCUGGCUCGAGGAUGGGCAGUCACAGGCCCCACUCUGCACGCUCUGCUGCUGUGGGCUGCUCAACCGCACCCUGGCCGUGGUGUUCAUGGUGAGCCUGGCGUUCGCCAUCGUGGUGGGAAAUGUGGUCACGCUCACCGUGUUCAUGCAGACCCGCCAGUCACGCACUCCACAGGGGUACCUUAAAGUGUCUCUGGCCAUCGCUGACAUGUUAGUCGGCGUCUUGGUCGUCCCCUUUUCUGUCUACACUGAGAUCUCACUCAUGGUGACCAGCACUCCUCCAGUGUGGUACCAGUCCUCAGCGGCACCCAUGGACGCGGCGGAUCAUAACCACGGCGGCAGCACCGGCAGCGGUGGCGGGAACCUGUCUGUGUCCUGGCAGCCGUGCAUGCUGAUCGGGCCCGUGUUCGCUGGCUGCACCUUUGUUUCCAUCAGCACCAUCUUCCUGAUGACGGUGGAGCGCAGCGUGGCCAUCCUGUGGCCGCUGCACAAGGACGCGGUGGUGACACGGCGGCGCUCGCUGAUGCUCAUCCUGCUCUCCUGGGCGGGCAGCUUUCUGCUGGCCGUGGCGCCUCUGGUGCUGAGCCGCAGCUUCACGCUGGAGUACAACCCGUGCAGCCGCAUGUGCAACUACGCACCGCUGUGGGAUGUGUCGCUGCCGCAGCCGUCCGACGCCCAUGUCAUGCUCCUCUUCCCCGCCUUCGACUUUACACUGUUGGGGGGCACACUGGUCGUCAACAUCGUCUCAUUCACCAGCAUCCGACGCUACUCGCGCAAGCGCAAGCUGCUGGCUGAGGGCAGCCUGGGCGGGGACAGUGGGGGAGGAGGGGGAGGGGGCUGGUGCCAACACCGGCCAUCCUUCUCCGACAUCAAGGCGGCCAAGACCAUCGGCAUCCUGACGUUCGCGUUCACUGCCUCCUUCUCGCCCAUCGCCGUGUUCGUGCUGGGCAACGUGGUGGGCUACGCGUGGUGCAACUUCUCCUUCUUUGCGUUCUGGAUUCUGGCUGGCAACAGCUGCUGCAACGUUGUCAUCUACAGUGUCAGGGACCAACGCUUCCGUAAGGGCGUCACCCUGCUUUUUCAGAGGGAACGUUCAAUCCCCCAAGGGGAAAAAAACUGAAACUGGUCGACCACCAUUACACCCCUUCCCCACACUUUCCCACAUUCCUCUAAACAAGACCCCUCAUAACAGGUGUCCUUCCUUUGAAAGUAUGGAAGCUGGAUAAUUAUUCUCACAUCUGUAGGGCUUUAAAUACUAUUUCAACUUCAGGGACCAUCAAAACUGAACUGUAUGGGUUGGUUACACCGUUUUUUUGUCGACAGUUCUCUCUUGAUAUUUGAGGCACAACAAUGAUGGACUUCACCCUUGCAUCUGAAAUUAAAGGGACAAUCAAAUGUGAUGUCCUGCCAUGCACAUUACAAUAAUAUGAACAUGGCUUAUUUACCUUUCUUGAAUCAUGAUCAUGUUCAUUUAAUAUUGUGUUUUUACACUACCUGUGCAUUUUUAUACUAUUAUUUUUGCUAUGAUUGUCACUCUUACAGUGAUUUUGUUAUAAACACAAAUAUAAAUGAAUGCACUAAAUGGAUUUUUCAGCUUUUCAUACAGACUCACUUGCAGUAAUCAUAAUUCAGAAUGACGUUGCAACAGAGACAAGCUAAGAUAAUGCCUUAUUGUUCAAAUCUACAUACAUGCAGUACAGUAUGUAAGCCUUCAAGAGAAAACCAACCUGCUCACAAUAUCAAAUACUGUCAUUCCUACCUAUCCUUUUGACUCAUUCUGUGAUAUUGACUGUUGUCUGAUUUAGUGGCCAAAAGCCUAUAGAUUUCUUUAUGUGUUAUAUGAUGCAAAAAUCUAAAAUAAGUCAUUACUAUGGUUAUAUAUAUAAUUAUAUUCUAUAAUAAAAAAAUAGAUACAAAAUAAAAAUGUAUUGGU